rnacentral:lncRNA from 1 species
UGAGAGUAACAGACUUAUAAAUGAAGUAUCGAUUUAACUUAUAACAUACUCUUGAUAAUUGCUUGUUAAUCAUCAAAAUAACACUAUCAUCCUCAAUCUCCCCCUUUUUGAUGAUUACAAAAUAAAGAGUAUGAGCCUAUUGAUACUUAUCUUAAAAUCAGUUUUAAAAGGGCUCAAGUUGCUGAAUUUCAGCUUUUCA